rnacentral:rRNA from 1 species
CACUUGGUGAAGGACCGAACUCGUGGAUGUUGAAAAAUCCUGAGAUGACUUGAGAGUAGGAGCGAAAGACUAAUCAAACCCCGUGAUAGCUGGUUCUCUCCGAAAUCGCUUGAGGGCGAGCGUUGGGCAAGUAAACCGUGGAGGUAGAGCACUGGAUGGCUUAGGGUCCCUACCAGGAUGCCAAAACCAAUCAAACUCCGAAUUCCACGGGAUCCAUUAACCCAGCAUUCAGACGGCGAGGGAUAAGCUUCGUCGUCGAGAGGGCAACAGCCCAGACCUGCAGCUAAGGUGCCUAAACAUAGUUAAGUGGAAAGGAUGUGACGUUACUUAGACAGUGAGGAUGUUGGCUUAGAGGCAGCCAUCAUUUAAACAGUGCGUAACAGCUGACUCAUCGAGUGAUGUCGCGCCGAAAAUGAUUGGCGAUCAAACUAUGUACCGAAGCUCAGGAUUCUACAGUGAUUCGUCAUUGUAGAGUGGUAGGAGAGCGUAACCCGUGCUGUAAAGGUAAUUCGAAAGGAAAACUGGAGCGCUGGUUAGUGAGAAUGCAGACACGAGUAGCGAUAAACCAGAUGAGAAUUCUGGUCGCCGUAAACCCAAGGUUUCCUGGGCCAGGUUCGUCCUCCCAGGGUUAGUCGGGAGCUAAGAUGAGGUCGUAAGACGUAAUCGAUGCCCAGCCGGUCAACAUUCCGGCACCGAACCGGGUCAAACCGAUGGUGACGCAUGAUGGAACGCAGUGGGAUCAUUGAAAGAUCCAGCUUAGGAGCAAUCCGAAGCGUACUGCCGGAAGUUGUGCCUAGAAAAGCCAUCGGCCCUUUCCCGGUCGCCCGUACCGUAAACCGACACAGGUGGGUGGGUGUAAGUGCACCAAGGCGCGCGAGAGAGCCCUCUCUAAGGAACUCGGCACAUUAGCCCCGUAACUUCGGGAGAAGGGGUGCUCACUUCGGUGAGCCACAGUAAAUUGCGUUUAGCGACUGUUUAACAAAAACACAGCACUCUGCCACGUCAUUAAGACAACGUAUAGGGUGUGACAAGUGACCAAUGCGGGAAGAUCAAGGCAAGGGGUUAGCCGCAAGGCGAAGCUCUGAACCUAAGUCCCCGUGAAUGUCGGCCGUAACUAUAACGGUCCUAAGGUAGCGAAAUUCCUUGUCGGGUAAGUUCCGACCUGCACGAAUCUUGUAACGACUGAACGACUGUCUCGGAGAGGUUCUCGGCGAAACUGUAGUUGCGGUGAAGAUGCCGCAUGCCCGCAGUAGGACGGAAAGACCCUAUGCACCUUUACUGUAAGCUCGUAUUGGCUUCUGUUUGAUAAUGCUUAGCGUAGGUGGGAGACUUUGAAGGCAUGGCUUCGGUUGUGCCUGAGUCGCAAUGUGAAACACCACUCUUUGUCAAUUAGGAGUCUAACCUUGAUCCCGUUAGCCGGGCAGGGGACAGUGCGUGCGGGUCAGUUUGGCUGGGGCGGCUUCCUCCCAAAUGGUAACGGAGGAGCGCGAAGCUGGGCUCAGCAUGGUUGGCAACCAUGCGUCGAGCGUAUGGGUAGAAGCCCGGUUGACUGCGAGACAUACAAGUCGAGCAGGUGCGAAAGCAGGCCCAAAUGAUCCGAUGGUUGAAUGUGGAAUUGCCAUCGCUCAACGGACAAAAGGUACGCUAGGGAUAACAGGCUGAUCGGAUCCAAGAGUUCACAUCGACGAUCCGGUUUGGCACCUCGAUGUCGGCUCAUCGCAUCCUGGGGCUGGAGAAGGUCCCAAGGGUCCGGCUGUUCGCCGGUUAAAGCGGUACGCGAGCUGGGUUCAGAACGUCGUGAGACAGUUCGGUCCUUAUCCACUGUGGGCGAAGGAAACUUGAGGGGUUCAUUCCUUAGUACGAGAGGACCGGGAAUGACGCACUUCUGGUGUGGCAGUUGUUCCGUCAGGGGCAUCGCUGCGUAGCCAUGUGCGGAAGAGAUAAGCGCUGAAAGCAUCUAAGUGCCAAGCUCAUCCCAAGAUUAGGUUUCCCGGAGCGCAAGCUCCCUAAAGGCCGCAGGUAGACUACCUGCUCGAUAGGUUGGGCGUGCAAAUGCCGUGAGGCAUGAGCGGACCAAUACUAAUCGGCCGUGAGGCUUGAUUGU